UUGACGGUGAGAAGGUCGUAGUACCGCGUGUCAAGUUCACAGUCUUCUCUUCGUAAACUUUGGAAGAACUAGUUCCUCGAGAAACUCGGUGCUGUUCAGACGUUAGUCGAACAAAGCGUACCAAGUUCGUUAUCGAACUUCCGCGAAUUGCAUAUCGCGUGUUCCGUUUCAGUUUCUAACGAAAUGUUGGACGUACCGUUAGAAAGAGGAAAGAGAGUACUCGUAGGGCAGUACACGAAUGUUGCCACAGUAAACUGUGUUAUAUCCAACUCUCUACAGUGUAUUCGUGUUUUGUUGCCACGCAUGCGUAACAUUUCUAUCCUUAGAGAGUUUCGCAUACCAGAUCGAUAAAAGAUACUUUUCGAUGGAGCAUAAGAGAGAAUACAACGGGUGGUGGAGAAAUUCAAGGUCAGCAUAUCGACGUUCCACGGAUCGAAGCACCUAGAAAUUCUGACUCCAUCGAGCGAAAGGUUCAAGGUCUCUCGAGAAUAUCGUCUCGGUUGUGCAAGACGAUUGCUUACUCGUUCAAACAGACCUUUCCCUAAUCACCCGUGAUAAGUAAUAACCAAUAGGUACAAUUCUCUGUAACGAGUUUCCUACUUCACAAUGGAGAAUUAGGUCAAUGAAUUAAAUAAUUCUCGAGUAUACUUUCCAUCACGAUUUUUUUAUGUUAAAUAGAAAAUAAUAGUAUUAUAUAGAAUAUUCGUGGACAAAGGUGCGCCGAAGAAGAGAAGAACGAUUGUUAACUGCCUACGCUUGACCUUCCUCAGUCGUUCGUUCUGGGACGAGAGAGAGAGAAAAGAAGAGAAAAAAGAAAGACAUUAAAGUAACAUAAUUACGUCAUGAUACUUUUUCGAGAAGGCGUAAUUACGUUCUUGAUAUACAUAUACAUACAUAAGUUAGCAUUUAUUUAUCAUUAAGUACGCAUUUAAGAAAUGAUCGACUGCGAAACGAAAGGUUAAAAAUAUUUCCUUUGAACUUUUGUCCUUUAUCAUUAUCGCGGAAACAAAUAAUAUUCUAGAAUUACUCGAAGAUGAAAAAGAAAAAGAAUAUAUUAUAGAAGACGAUUGUAAUCAUACUCAUUCAACGUUAUCUUUUUCUGUUCUAUCUAGUCUACCAAGUAACUUGUCAUUUAACUGACACUCGCUUUUAUUAUUUAAUGGGAGAACAGGUAUAUUGAACAUGGCGGGAGGUGAACUCGUUCACGUUUUUAUGCGGUUUUAUGGACGUGAAUGCCGUCACGAUGUCAUGCGAGAAGAAGGUGCGAGCUUGCGGUCCCAGUUCUGCGUCUUCUAGUUCUGAUACGGAUAAAUCUGUAAAUGUGGGUUUGGAGCAAGGAGGACUACCACCUCUCUCUCUCUCUCUCUCUCUCUCUCCCUUUCUAUUUAUUUAUCUUUCUUUUUCUAGUACUUAUCGACACUCUCGAUAACGGUCAUCCUUGGGUGAUAUAAAUUAUUUAUAAGAAGAUUCGCGUUGCAAGACGCUCUGGCAAUUUGUAAUUGUAAUUUAUUUUGCCUAUGUGGAGAGUGUUACACGUACUUACUUGUUAGACAAGCGGACGGCCAACUAACGCAAUUAUAUACCGGAUUCGUUCUACGAACGUGUGUACCUACGUUCACGAGCUCGAGAGAAUCUAGCGCUGCCUUAUCCGUGAUAAAACGUUUAUAUGUACAUAGAACACGUUGACUUGUCUCGUAUCUUUCAAAGUAUUAUACCUAUAUUAAAACUUUACAAUUCUCACGAGAUUAAUAGAUAUGAUUUUCUAUUUAAAAAUAUCGAUUAUCGUGGAAUUUCAUCUAGAAGAGAAGAGAUGAGAAGAGAAGAGAAAAAAAAAAUACUCGUUUGAGUUUUGGACAAGCGUGGGUGCUUCGAAAGUACACCAAUACCACCCACAUGCCUAUCGUCAUUAUCCUCGACGUCCAAAUAUUUUCUACAUUCUUUCCAUCGAAUUGUCUAAUAAGUUUCUAUAGCACGCCACUCAUCCCACCUCUCCCAUUUUUAAUGAGAGAAAUUUAUUACGAAAGAAUACCAAUUUUCUCUCGGCAUAUACGCCAUUUCGUUUAUCUUUUAUUUCUGCAGCUCUCUUUCUUUUUUUUUUUUUGCGCCUUCCCUCGCAAAAUUUUUGCUACAAAUACCAUAGCUAAAAAAAAAAAAAAAGAGAAAAAAAAAGAAAAAGAGAAAAAGAAAAACAAACGCUCGAUGAAUUUCCACGGAUAAAAUCAAGAUAUUUUAAGAGAUAAACGAUUGAAAGAGUUUUUUUCCUUCUCGACAAUUGAGAUUGUUUUCUUUUUUAUUUUGUUUCUUUUAUUUUUAAUUCUUUUUUCGAAGACGAAGAAAAUAAAAUAAUUCAACGAAGUCGUUCGCAGAACGAGGACGAGGCUUCGUCGGACGGCGACUGAAAAGACGGAGGAAAUGACGUCACAUUAUUAUGGUUACGGAUCUCCGUGGUCGGUUGCGGUUGACAAACCAAGCGUCUAUGAUUCCGUUCUCCUCCGAUCCCUUUUGCCAUCCUUUUUCUUCUCUAUAUUUUACCUUCUGCCUCUUCCUUUCUUCGAGGAUUGCUCUUUUGUUAGGACUUUGUUAUAUGAGAGUCCAAAGUAGCCUUUGCUUUCCAUUCGAGCAACCGACAUUCGAAACCAGAGAGCGACCACUCGAGUUGAAGAAAACAAGACGAUAUUUCGGUACUCUUUUCUAUUCGUGCAACGUUAACGUUUCGUUCGUUUGCUUGAAGAUAGAAGAAUAUAAGAUAGAUAGAUAAAAAAUAGAUAGAUAAAAAGAUGGAGAGAGAGAGAGAGA